rnacentral:rRNA from 1 species
GAUGAACGCUAGCGGCGGGCUUAAUACAUGCAAGUCAAGGGGUAGCAAUACACCGGCGUACGGGUGCGUAACGCGUAUGGAACCUGCCCUUAUCUGGGGGAUAACUCGGGGAAACUCGAGCUAAUACCGCAUAAGAUAGUAGAAUGGCAUCAUUCAGCUAUUAAAGAUUUAUCGGAUAAGGAUGGCCAUGCGUAAGAUUAGGUAGUUGGGGGGGUAACGGCUCACCAAGUCUACGAUCUUUAGGGGCUCUGAGAGGAGAAUCCCCCACACUGGCACUGAGAUACGCGCCAGACUCCUACGGGAGGCAGCAGUAGGGAAUAUUGGGCAAUGGGCGGCAGCCUGACCCAGCCACGCCGCGUGCAGGAAGAAGGCCCUCUGGGUUGUAAACUGCUUUUGAUUGGGAAGAAAGCAUCUCAUGCGUGGGAUUUUGACGGUACCAAUCGAAUAAGCCACGGCUAACUACGUGCCAGCCGCCGCGGUAAAAC